AAGUUUUGGGUCACAACUUUUUUUUCCCGGAGGCGCUGUAUGUGGGCUAGCGGGCGCUUUACCCAGGCGCCACCCCUCACCUGAAUGUUCCGGAAAAGCCAGGACCAUAUCCGGUCCAUAGAUUUACUAUUUCCGGUCGCGUGCUACACAGGUGAACGGCAUAUUCCGGACAAUUCCCGGAGAUCAUAUCUGAAAACGGCUUCAGAGACAUAUCGUGUGUAACGUCAGGACGUGGAGGUGGUUUAGUAUGGCCUUAGUGUAAACACACACAAAGGCCAUACCUAUGUCAUAAAUAGAAGUGCAACAGUCAAGAUUCAAAAACAUGGAAAAGAAGUCCUGGAGGAAAAUUUCUAGAUGCCUCUACACAAAAUUUUCUGACAAAUGGGCCAUUCUCUGUCAGCUGCUGAAGAUCAUGAGAUGUGAUCCACAGCUACCAACCGGACCAGCCUUCUGAUAGACAACCCUGACACCUGCUCCCAGGGGAGACCCUCCGCCAAGUCAGUGCACUGUUCCUUGAGAGACUUCCCUUACUUUAUCAGCCCAUAAAGGAUUGUCACAGGUGACUAUAUCAGCUGAGGAAAAGGAGGCUGCAGUGUCACCGGCUGGAUCACAAAAGGUAAACACCUGAUUUACACUAUUUAGAAAUCACCUCUAUAGUAUUGUACAACGCGUGACACUUGCUCCCUCAAUUGUUCCGUCCUGCUCCAGUUAUUAAUUACAGCACACUUUUAACAAAGCGACAUUGUCUAUGACUAAUCAUCGACACAGAAUGAUUAAAGAUGUUCUUCGCUUUUUUUGAAUUACUCGCUUCUCCUUCAUCCGUGUUCAUUCAUGAGCUACAUGCCACCGCCUCCCCCCCAUUCUUGGUCCAGAAUUUGGUUCGCUGUUAUCCGAUUACCAGCGUCCUGAGAGGCUUUCACAGGCCCAUCCAUCAAGACUAAGGGGUUGAGGGAGAGCGUCGACAAUGCUGCUGCAGCGAUGUAAAGCACAGAGGAGUCGUGUUUAUUAAAAGAUAAACAUGGUUUUAUAUAGAAAUACACAAGACUUGCCACGUAACAUGACAUUAUCUGAAACUCUGAUGUGACUUAAGGUGACAGUUUAUUUCUUUUUCCAAACUUGAGGGUUCCUCGAGGAUAAAAAUAUAUUCCCAUAUUUUCAAACUCAAAAUUACAAUACAGAGAUGUUAUAAAAUGACACCUGCUGCUAACGGCGGAAAAGUUGCACAACACACAGUCGAGUAAAACGUGCUUGACAGGAGAGCAGGUGUACGGACGCAGUUUGUCAUCGUGCAGCCCUCCCUCACAGCCACACGGCACGAGGAGAGUAUCUCCUAUAAGCCUGGAUCUGGCGCGGCUUUGGAGUACUGUUUGGUGACUGAGGGAAGAGCGGUGUCAGGAGGAUCAUCAGUGGCUCUCUCCCAGGGAGAUGAGCAGCAUAGGCCAAUUUUAUAUGCGGGGCUCGGCCUCUGGGUCUGAGUGGAGGUGGGCUGGGUCCACCCAGUAUCCUGGCUUCAUUAAUCAUCCCGCCAAGGCUUACUGGCAAACCCCCUCUCCGCCCUCUCCUAGACAACCCCUCGGAUUACACAGAGCCAGCGAAAUGUCAGCCCAAAUCUGAGUCUUGAUGCAGAUAAUCAUUUCAAUAAUAUUUCUCCAUUUGUGCCCCCGAUGCCAGGGGAAUAAAGCUUUUCCACUGUCAGGUAGCAUAAGACUACAGUUGGUGGGAAUACUUGACUCUGAGCCAGAUGGCUUAGCCAUGCUCGCAACAUAUGUUCAACAAGCAGUCCUGUGCCAAGCACGCAUUAGGUUUUUAUUAAUUUGAAGCAGGCAGGAAUGCAUACGUAUAUAUUUACCUGAUCCCACCACUCCUCGCCACCCUCAACCCCCAUGCUCCCUAUAGAGAAGCUAACUAGACUCGACUACUGUGUGCAGCAAGAACAAAAUAUGAGCAUGGGUCCAAACAAUGCAAAAGUAAUAAGACAUUUCUAGUUGCCACUAUUUUAACACGACAUAUUACGCAAAAUGUGUAUUUUGUAAAUAUUACAUUGAAGAAAAUUAAAAUACAAUUAAAACAUAUCUGGUCUAUUUUUAAGUGAGCAUUAGUUCGUUACUCAUCAAAGCCAAUUACAGUGUGUAUUUAUGGCUCCGGCGUCUGCCACGGUGGCGCUGGUUGUUAGAAAGCAAAUUACCAUUUAGAUUCAUGAAUAUGCUUGGGUCCAAGACAAAAGAAACAGUGCUGCAUGGGAGGGCAAAUUUAUUCAUUACCACUAAGUUGAACUUCCCUUUAACAGCCCGGUGCUCUGAAAUCCUGGGAGUUCUUCUCCCAGUGACUUAUGGUAGUGCGAGGGGAGGGGGGGAGGGGGGGAGGCGGCGCGCCGAAAAUGUCAAUAGAAAUAGUAAGUGUGAGAGGGAAGGCUUGCCUAAUUAGUGCCCAUUUAGAUUUUAUGACGGCUCUGAGAUCUGCUCUUCCUGACAGAGAGCACUAUAGUUGCAUAUUGUCCUAGCCUGAGGGAACCAUAGGAAAAUCCAGAUUUAUCGUACCUAUCAUACCAGCAUAUUUCAUUUGCCAUUAUGAGAUGCCAUCUUGCAAUGAUGCCAGAUUAUUUAUUACAGAUUAAAUUGUGGGACCUGGGUGGUUGAGGAACAUUUCAAAGUACCAUUCCUCUUAUUAACUUCUUCAUUAUCUGCCCCACUGUGAUGUAAAAGCUCCCUCCUUCCUAUCUGUGUUAACAAAUACAUUACUGAUUGGACAAUGCUGAACUGUUUUUUCACUCUCUGCGUUUGUUUCCUAACAUUAGUGCCGGUGUGCACCACAACUCAUUUGUCUCCUCUACUUAGGGCAGAAAGGGAUUUCACUUUGUUAAGGCCAAUUUCACAUAGAAAAGUUUUGUUUCUUUUGAUCAGGUAGUUUUCCCAGUUAAUUCAUAACCUGAAGCAAUACAGAAUUCAAAUAAAUAUUGUGGUUUGUUUUGGGUUUCAAUCCCAUGGAGAAUUUGAUUAAUUUUGCAGCCUCAUGAUGUUUUGAGGUAUAGUGAAGGUAGACACAUCCAUACCCAUCUUCCUCUGCAGUUUCCAGACGCCCGAGUGGUUUUUAAAUAUUUUGUGUAUUAGGUGGUGUUUAUUUACUGUGUCCCUUAAACCCAAGGACGUUGGCAUUUAUCCUAUUUACACAUCAAUAUUACAUCUCCACGAAGGCCUUGAGAGUUGCAUUUAAGUCAUUGUGCAGGAUGGUAUUAAAAUGUACUCCAUACUGUGAGGGGAGCUCAUCAGGGAAUAGCCGGGCCCUGGACUCCCAUUACCCAGCAUAAAAGUGUCAGCCACUUUAAUUACAUUCAUGCCUUCCCCAGUCCAUUUUCCUGCAGCCACAAUCAGAUUUCACGCACAGAUCUCAUGCCUCCGUCUGGACCGUUUGGACAUUGUUGGUGGUGAGAGGAGGAUCUAAGCAUGAUUUUUUUUUUUUUUUACAAUUUUUUCCAUCUGUCAUCUGAACUCAUGAUGUAUGAGCAGUGUUUAGACCUUAGAUAUUUCAGGUGUUUCCAGCCGGUCAUGCACUCACAGGCUCGAAUGCUUUGUCUGCUGCUCCUGGUCCCUCAAUGUGAAUUUGAGUAUCUGUCGCCGGAGUUGUUGAUUAAGUUGGAAUGUACAGCCACUAAAUAUCAGUGCACCCCACUGAGAGUGGAGGAAUCGGCUGUACACAGGGCACCCUCACAGAGGAGUGUGACG